ACGCGGUGAAGGUCAUACCAUCUUUCGGCUGACUGUAAUGAUGCCAAUUUACCAUAAUGCUGAGCGUGC
rnacentral:snoRNA from 1 species